rnacentral:rRNA from 1 species
AGCGAACGCUGGCGGCAGGCUUAACACAUGCAAGUCGAACGAAACCAUCGGGGUUAGUGCCGGCCGGGGGCGUAACACGUGGGAAUGCGCCUUUAGGUUCGGAAUCACUCAGGGUAACUUGUGCUAAUACUGACUGUGACCUCCGGGGGACAGUGUUAUAGCCUUUAGAGCGGCCCGCGUCCGCUUAGCUAGUUGGUGGGGGUAAUGGCUCACCAAGGGGUGGAUCAGUAGCUGGGCUGAGAGGAUGGGCAGAGACAUUGGGACUGAGACACGGCCCAGACUCCUACGGGAGGGGGGAGAGGGGAAUCUAGCGCAACGGGCUAAAGCCUGACGCAGCCAUGGCGGGAGAAUGAUGAAGGUCGUAGGAUAGUAAAAUUCUUUCACCGGGGAGGAUAAUGACGGUACCCGAAGAAGAAGCCCCGGCUAACUUCGUG